AUUGAACGCUGGCGGCAGGCCUAACACAUGCAAGUCGAGCGAGCGGCGGACGGGUGAGUAAUGUCUGGGAAACUGCCUGAUGGAGGGGGAUAACUACUGGAAACGGUAGCUAAUACCGCAUACCAUCAGAUGUGCCCAGAUGGGAUUAGCUAGUCGGUGGGGUAAUGGCUCACCUAGGCGACGAUCCCUAGCUGGUCUGAGAGGAUGACCAGCCAAACUGGAACUGAGACACGGUCCAGAGUCCUACGGGAGGCACAGGUGGGGAAUAUUGCACAAGGGGCGAAAGCCUGAUGCAGCCAUGCCGGGUGUAUGAAGAAGGCCUGCGGUUUGUAAAGUACUUUCAGCGAGGAGGCGUUACUCGCAGAAGAAGCACCGGCUAACUCCGUGCCAGCAGCCGCGGUAAUUC
rnacentral:rRNA from 1 species